rnacentral:rRNA from 1 species
UAGCCGCAGUACUUUGACUGUGCAAAGGUAGCAUAAUCAUUUGUCUUUUAAUUGAAGGCUUGUAUGAAUGGUCUGAUGAAAAUUUGACUUUCUUUUUAUUAAUUUACUGAAUUUAACUUCUUAGUCAAAAGGCUAAGAUUUUUGAAUGGGACGAGAAGACCCUAUAGAAUUUUAUUUUUAUUUAUAUUUUAAUAAUUGGAUUUUUUUAUUAUUUUAUAUUUGAAAAUUUUGUUGGGGCGACAGGAUGAUUUUUAUAACUCAUUUAUUUAAAUGAUUAUUGAUUAAUAAAUUAUUGAUCCUUAAUAUUAGGAUUUAUAGAUUAAAUUACCUUAGGGAUAACAGCGUAAUUUCUCCGGAGAGUUCUUAUUGAUGGAGGAGAUUGCGACCUCGAUGUUGGAUUAAAAUAAGUUU